rnacentral:rRNA from 1 species
UACGGGGGGAGCAAGCGUUGUUCGGAUUUACUGGGCGUAAAGGGCGGGUAGGCGGCCACCGCAAGUCAGUUGUGAAAUCUCCGGGCUUAACCCGGAAAGGUCAGCCGAUACUGCGGGGCUAGAGUGCAGAAGGGGCAACUGGAAUUCUCGGUGUAGCGGUGAAAUGCGCAGAUAUCAGGAGGAACACCGGUAGCGAAGGCGGGUCUCUGGGCCGAUACUGACGCUGAGGAGCGAAAGCGUGGGGAGCGAACAGG